rnacentral:rRNA from 1 species
CGCCCUUAGAGUUUGAUCAUGGCUCAGGAUGAACGCUGGCGGCGUGCCUAAUACAUGCAAGUCGAACGAAAAGAUGCUUGCAUCUUUGAGUGGCGAACGGGUGAGUAACACGUGAAUAACCUGCCUUAUAGUAGGGGAUAACAUUUGGAAACAGAUGCUAAUACCGUAUAAAACAAUUUUGCAUAAAAUUUGUUAAAAGGCGUUCGCGUCGCUAAAAGAUGGAUUCGCGCUGCAUUAGUUAGUUGGUGAGGUAAAGGCUCACCAAGACGAUGAUGCAUAGCCGAGUUGAGAGACUGGUCGGCCACAUUGGGACUGAGACACGGCCCAAGCUCCUACGGGAGGCUGCAGUAGGGAAUCUUCCACAAUGGGCGAAAGCCUGAUGGAGCAACGCCGCGUGUGUGAUGAAGGCUUUCGGGUCGUAAAGCACUGUUGUAUGGGAAGAAUGGCUUAGGUGAAAAUCUAAGAUUGACGGUACCAUACCAGAAAGGGACGGCUAAAUACGUGCCAGCAGCCGCGGUAAUACGUAUGGUCC